CUGAUAAAGAUUCUGCUUGGACGUGAUACUUGUCAUGUCCAUUCACGUUUCAUAAAGUUCUACACUGAACAUCACUCCAGUCACAUUAUAACCAAAGCAAGCCACGUGGUCACAGCCACCAUCAAAUGGGACAGAGGGACACAACCCCUCCCAGGGAAGCAGAAGGAAACCCCAUUUUGCCAACGGCACCCAGAGCUCAAAAACGCAACCCAAGCAGUCCAAGUGAGCCGCAUCCCCUGUCUCCACCCAGCGGAGCACGGAGGAGCUGGCCGAAUGGUCGACACUGACUUCUUCAGCAACUUCUCAUGCAGUUGUAAGAGGAUCAGCUUUGAUGACUGCUCUCCAUUGAUCGUUGUCAACUUCUAAUGACUAGCCACUAUGCUCCUCAACUUCAAGGCGCUCGUCCCCUUUGCAAAACUUCUUGAACCACCAUUGCACAGUACUUCAUUAGUAGUUCCUGAGCCAAAUGCAUUGUUGAUGUUGCAAGCUGUCUCUGCUAUUUUAUGACCCAUUUUGAACUCGAACAAAAGAAUUGGGAAUUUGGGUUUUGUCUCACAUCAUUUCUAUAGUCUAAAAUAAAUAUAAAAUAAAC
rnacentral:lncRNA from 1 species